GGUAUAUCGCGGCCACUUAGGCCACGGACUCAGUGAAGGCUCCUGAAGGUUCUGGCCAAAAAUAACUCGAUUUUCAGAAACAAAGUUUAAGAAAACCAUUGCUUUGGAAAUGGUGCUACCUCAGAAAAUGGGAUGCAUUCAGCAAAAGCUUUUUUCCUAUUUUGGAGGAACAGCAGAGUAGUUUCUGCUGUGUUCUGAAAACUGUAGAAGUGAUGAACUUCCUUGGCCAUGGGGUCUCCUCUUCUCCCUCAGCAUCUCCGUGGACAAGUGAGAAGCACUGUUGGCACCAUGAAAAUAAAGUUUCUAGAAUGGUCAAGCUCUAAUCCCUCCUGAAGAUGGUCUUUCCUUUACUAAACCCCUGGAAGCCUCUGGAGCUGUGGACCACUGUCUUGCCUGCUCUUAUAUGAGUUUCUAUAGAUUCAUAUGUUUCUUAUCUCUGGAAGCAUACUGAAGAUCCCUGAAUGAGGACUCAUUUUUAAAAUCCGUAUUUCCCACUUGCACACAGAAGACAUGUAACAAAACUUCACUACCAUGCAGGAGAACACUAAGUUUAAUGCCUUUUUAAAAAAAUGU